GACGAACGCUGGCGGCGUGCUUAACACAUGCAAGUCGAACGGAAAGGCCCUGCUUUUGUGGGGUGCUCGAGUGGCGAACGGGUGAGUAACACGUGAGUAACCUGCCCUUGACUUUGGGAUAACUUCAGGAAACUGGGGCUAAUACCGGAUAGGAGCUCCUGCUGCAUGGUGGGGGUUGGAAAGUUUCGGCGGUUGGGGAUGGACUCGCGGCUUAUCAGCUUGUUGGUGGGGUAGUGGCUUACCAAGGCUUUGACGGGUAGCCGGCCUGAGAGGGUGACCGGCCACAUUGGGACUGAGAGAGGGCCCAGCCUCCUACGGGAGGCAGCAGUGGGGAAUAUUGCACAAUGGGCGGAAGCCUGAUGCAGCAACGCCGCGUGCGGGAUGCCGGCCUUCGGGUUGUAAACCGCUUUAGCCUGUGACGAAGCGUGAGUGGCGGUAAUGGGUAAAGAAGCACCGGCUAACUACGUG
rnacentral:rRNA from 1 species